rnacentral:rRNA from 1 species
UACGUAGGGCGCAAGCGUUAUCCGGAAUUAUUGGGCGUAAAGGGCGCGUAGGCGGCUGAGCAAGUCGAACGUGAAAUCCCUGGGCUUAACCCAGGAAGUGCAUUUGAUACUGCUCAACUUGAGUCCCGGGGAGGGUGGUGGAAUUCCGGGUGUAGCGGUGAAAUGCGUAGAUAUCGGGAGGAAUACCUAUGGCGAAAGCAGUCUUCUGGACCAUCACUGACUCUGAUCUGCGAAAGCUAGGGGAGCAAACAGG